UGACCAAGAGAGACUCCACCUCAAAAAAAAAAAAAAAAAAGAAUAUGAUGAUUGGAGUUCUUGUAAUACCUGAUUAACAUCUCUGCAUAAUCAUAAUGACCAACACCCUGAUUGCUCCUACCUAAU
rnacentral:snoRNA from 10 species